GGAACCGACUAUCAUGGCGCUGAAGGUGUCUGCAAGUUUAUAUCGAGUAGUUCAGUUUGUUACUACACAAGUUUUGAGAGGAGGGAAAACAAACAAAAGUAUUUUCACCAGAUUUAAACCAGAAAUCCAAUGUAGCUCGUUUUUCCACACUACAAGGAAAAACAAUGAUUUGAUGGAAUUUUUUGAUGCUACAGAAGAUUUGGAAGAUGGAGCUGUUGCCUGUGGUAGACCAUGGAGAAAAGAUGAAUUACGAAUCAAAAGCAAUGAAGAUCUGCACAAGUUAUGGUAUAUUCUUCUAAAAGAAAGAAAUAGAAUAAUGACACUUGAAUCUGAGUUAGAAAGACAAGGAUUGUACAUGACAGAUGCAUGGAGAAUGGAUAAAGUAAGUCAGAAAAACCAGAUCUUGCAUUUUGCAUGACAGUAGAGCAAUCUUUGAAGGCUAAAAAAGUAUAUUGAGAAAAGAAUAAAGAAUCCUUGGUGAAAAUGGAUAUACAUGUACAUUAGUCGUUGGCAAAUGAUAAUCUUUUCCUGAAAAUUGUUAAUUUUCUCGUUUGCUUUUAAAAGAUAUCAUACUGUUUUUAAAAAGGUUGAAUGAAAUUCUCUCUGAAACGGCUUUGAAGUUGUAACAGAUAGUGAAAUCAUUAAACGUGUUAUUUUGAUUCUUGAAUUCAAGUAAUAAUGAUUUUUAUGCCCCCCUUCAAAGAAGGGAGGGGAUAUUGCUUUGCUGCUCUCUGUCGGUCGUUUGGUCCACCAACAGUUUCCAGUUUCCGCUCAUUUUCUUCGCAGAGGAUGAACAUAUUGAAAUGAAAUUUGGUAUAGAGGUUUAUCUUGAUAAUAUUUAGGUCAAGUUCGUUAUUGGGUACGAUCGAGCAAUUUUCAACAGAGUUAUUGCUCUUGGACGUAGAAAAAAUUCUAGUUAUUUGCAGUUUCCGCUCAUUUUCUUCGCAGAGGAUGAACAUAUUGAAAUGAAAUUUAGUAUACAGGUUUAUCAUGAUAAUAUCUAGAUCAAGUUAAAUAUUGGGUAUGAUUGAGCAAUUUUUGACAGAGUUAUGGCCCUCGGACGUAGAAAAAUUUAAGUUAUAUGCAGUUUCCGCUCAUUUUCUUCGCAGAGGGUGAACAUAUUGAAUUAUUGAUAUAAAAUUUAGUAUACAGUUUUAUCUAAAUACGUCCUAAUAUCUAGGUCAAGUUUAAUUUUGGGUAUUAUUGAGCAAUUUUCGACAGAGUUAUGCCCCUUGGACUUAGAAAAAUUCCAAAUAUUUGCAGUUUACAUUCAUUUUCUUUGUGGAUGUUCCAAGGAAGGGGGCAUAAGUGUUUCACAAGCAUCUCUUGUUCAAUAAGAUGUGAAUUACUCCAAUGUGAAUGCAGACAUUGUAAGACAGAAGUAUUUGUAUCUUUUUGACUUGAUUUUUUUUUUGUAAUUUUCAGGUAGAGGUAAGCAUGGAGAACCUGUUAACUGUGGUGAAAGAGAGAGACAUUGCUCUGAAUAUGUUGGAAACAGGUUUGAGUGGCGAGCCCUGUGAGGUCACGGCGCGUAACGCCCUGGGAAUCAAGUACCGACGCGUGGAGUCGGAACACUUAGUGCCCAAAUACAUGAACAGAAAGUACAAAUUAUUGCAUUCAAAAUACGAGCCCUGGAUGGCCCAGUGGAUCUUGAAAUAUGAGGAAGUGAAACGAGUGAAGCAGGAAAAGAGAGAGAAAUAUUACAAAUACCAAGCUAAAAUGCUACAGAAAAACUAUGGAAUCUCCGAAAAAGAGGCAAUCAGGUCAAUUAAUUAUAUCAGACAAAAAAGCAAGAAAAUGCGAGAUUUCUCUGUCUAAUUUUUAUAAUAAAACUUGUCAAUCC
rnacentral:misc_RNA from 1 species